UGUACCCGGCGGACUUAAGCAUAUCAAUAAGCGGAGGAAAAGAAACCAACAGGGAUUGCCCCAGUAACGGCGAGUGAAGCGGCAAUAGCUCAAAUUUGAAAUCUGGCUCUUUUAGGGUCCGAGUUGUAAUUUGCAGAGGGCGCUUUGGCGUUGGCAGCGGUCCAAGUUCUUUGGAACAGGACGUCACAGAGGGUGAGAAUCCCGUACGUGGUCGCUAUCCUUCGCCGUGUAAAGCCCCUUCGACGAGUCGAGUUGUUUGGGAAUGCAGCUCUAAAUGGGAGGUAAAUUUCUUCUAAAGCUAAAUACUGGCCAGAGACCGAUAGCGCACAAGUAGAGUGAUCGAAAGAUGAAAAGCACUUUGGAAAGAGAGUCAAAUAGCACGUGAAAUUGUUGAAAGGGAAGCGCUUGCAGCCAGACUUGCCUGUAGUUGCUUAUCCAGACUUUUGUCUGGUGCACUCUUCUGCGGGCAGGCCAGCAUCAGUUUGGGCGGUUAGAUAAAGGUCUCUGUCAUGUACCUCUCUUCGGGGAGGCCUUAUAGGGGAGACGACAUGUAACCAGCCUGGACUGAGGUCCGCGCAUCUGCUAGGAUGCUGGCGUAAUGGCUGUAAGCGGCCCGUCUUGAAACACGGACCAAGGAGUCUAACAUCUAUGCGAGUGUUUGGGUGUCAAGCCCAGACGCGUAAUGAAAGUGAACGGAGGUAAGAACCCUUUGGGUGCAUUAUCGACCGAUCCUGAUGUCUUCGGAAGGAUUUGAGUAAGAGCAUGGCUGUUGGGACCCGAAAGAUGGUGAACUAUGCUUGAAUAGGGUGAAGCCAGAGGAAACUCUGGUGGAGGCUCGCAGCGGUUCUGACGUGCAAAUCGAUCGUCAAAUUUGGGCAUAGGGGCGAAAGACUAAUCGAAC
rnacentral:rRNA from 1 species